UACGUAGGGUGCGAGCGUUGUCCGGAAUUAUUGGGCGUAAAGGGCUCGUAGGCGGUCCAUCGCGUCGGGAGUGAAAAGCUGGGGCUUAACCCCAGUCCUGCUUCCGAUACGGGUGGACUAGAGGUAGGUAGGGGAGAUCGGAAUUCCUGGUGUAGCGGUGAAAUGCGCAGAUAUCAGGAGGAACACCAAUAGCGAAGGCAGCUCGCUGGGACGGUACUGACGCUAAGGCGCGAAAGCGUGGGGAGCGAACAGG
rnacentral:rRNA from 1 species